rnacentral:rRNA from 1 species
UACGUAGGUGGCAAGCGUUGUCCGGAAUUAUUGGGCGUAAAGAGCAUGUAGGCGGGAAUCUAAGUCUGUUGUUAAAAUGCGGGGCUCAACCCCGUAUUGCGAUGGAAACUGGGUUUCUUGAGUGCAGGAGAGGAAAGGGGAAUUCCCAGUGUAGCGGUGAAAUGCGUAGAUAUUGGGAGGAACACCAGUGGCGAAGGCGCCUUUCUGGACUGUGUCUGACGCUGAGAUGCGAAAGCCAGGGUAGCGAACGGGAUUAGAUACCCUGGUAGUCCCU